AUUGAACGCUGGCGGCAGGCUUAACACAUGCAAGUCGAGCGGGGGAAGGUAGCUUGCUACCGGACCUAGCGGCGGACGGGUGAGUAAUGCUUAGGAAUCUGCCUAUUAGUGGGGGACAACAUCUCGAAAGGGAUGCUAAUACCGCAUACGUCCUACGGGAGAAAGCAGGGGAUCUUCGGACCUUGCGCUAAUAGAUGAGCCUAAGUCGGAUUAGCUAGUUGGUGGGGUAAAGGCCUACCAAGGCGACGAUCUGCAGCGGGUCUGAGAGGAUGAUCCGCCACACUGGGACUGAGACACGGCCCAGACUCCUACGGGAGGCAGCAGUGGGGAAUAUUGGACAAUAGGGGGAACCCUGAUCCAGCCAUGCCGCGUGUGUGAAGAAGGCCUUAUGGUUGUAAAGCACUUUAAGCGAGGAGGAGGCUACUUUAGUUAAUACCUAGAGAUAGUGGACGUUACUCGCAGAAUAAGCACCGGCUAACUCUGUG
rnacentral:rRNA from 1 species